rnacentral:lncRNA from 1 species
CGGAGUCUUGCUCUAUCGCCCAGACUGGAGUGCAGUGGUGCGAUCUCCGCUCACUGCAAACUUCGUCUCCUGGGUUCACGCCAUUCUCCUGCCUCAGGCUCCUGAGUAGCUGGGACUACAGGCACCCGCCACCGCGCCCGGCUAAUUUUUUGUAUUUUUAGUAGAGACGGGGUUUCAUCGUGUUAGCCAGGAUGGUCUCGAUCUCCUGACCUCGUGAUCCGCCCGCCUCAGCUUCCCAAAGUGCUGGGAUUACAGGCAUGAGCCACCGCGCCCGGCCCCCGACACCUAGUUUUAAAGGGUAAGCCGGCUCCUGGCACCUGCCUACUUGCAGUAGGGCGGCGCCUAGCUCUGACCUCCAAGGUCUGGGGACUGCGUCGCAGCCGCCCAGUCCAUCCCACUUUCAAUCUUACAGGCCCCUGCUGUUGCUGCCGCUGCCGCCGCUCCCAGCUGCCCAGUCUGGCGGGCUCAGUCCCGCGUUGCCAUGUGUGGGAGACCGCGUCCCGUAAGCGCUGGAUGUGGCUUCGCUGAUGCACAUUGGACCGGGCUCUGGACUGGGCUAGGGGAAGGGCAGGAGGGCGGAAUUGGGCCCGAGGGCCAGGCCUCGCCGACCCCCGACUGCGCCUCCCGGUGGCCCCGCAGCGCCUCCCGGUGGCCCUGGAGUGCAGGUCUUACCGUCCGAGAUCGCCCGCAACUGGGCGAGCUGUGCAUGGGGCGUGGCCAAGGCCGUGGUUUGGUUACGAUUGGCCAGCGGGACUUAAGUGUUGUCUCUGAAGAGCAUGGACAUUAGUCUGGAGGGUCCUGGAAGAGUGAUCCCCGCCCCACCAUCAAAUGGCGCUUAGGUCUAGGAAGCGGGUGUGGGUGGGGCCUUAGGGCGAGGCGCAGACACACCCCGAAGUGGUUGGAUUGUAUACCGCAAGGGGCUGGAUCGAACCCCCUAAAGACACUGGAAGGCUGUGUGGCUGAGGAGGGCCCGGCAGAUCCAGUGUGUCGUGGGCUUUACAGGAAAGAGCUCCACCUUCGCUGGAGUGUGCAGAUGCGAUCUAGGUGUGUCCACCCGAUGGGAGCUGCGGGCCGGGCAGAUGCUGCCCCAGUACAAAGCUGAUUUGGACCUGGGGCCUCUGGACUUCCCUGAUUCUCUGCUUGCAUCUCCAGCAAAGUCCUGUCCCAUUGGCUGCCUUCAUCCACUCUCUCGCCUCUCUGCCUUCAGAGUAAAAUUGCAAGAUCUGUGGUGCUUACUGGGAUCUGAUAGAGUCUCUCGGCAUCCACUGUCUAUGCAGCGGGUGUCCACCUGCAGCGGGGGGCCAUGUGCAGCGGGGGGCCACGUGCAGUGUGUGCCUCUUCUUAGCCAUGCUGGACAGCGCCGCCCCUGAAAAGCAGCUCCCCUGUUUCACCCAGAAAGCCAUCCAGAACCUCCUGGAAAAGGUGGCCUGAUGGCCAGGUGGCCUGAUGGCCAAGUGGCCUGGGAUGCCAGGAUCAAUCCUUUGAACUUUUCCUGUGGGCUGUCAGGACCCAUAGAAGGUCUUUGAGCAGCUCAUAGGUCUCUGAAUCAAGAGAAGCCACAUCUGGACCUGAUAUAGAAGAGACUAUUAGAGAUCCUGGGCUUGAGGCUGAUUCCAUGUCAGAUGGGUCACUUAGGUGGUCUCCCUUGGGAAGGGGAUGCAUUUAUUUUGCAUAUGGAAGAAAAUGCAAAGGCAAUAUUUGUAAGGAAGAGGGCAGACGGGGGAAGAUUUUAUAAUUGUUCAAAAACAUUCACUGGGAUGUGUGUGGUGGCUCACGCCUAUAAUCCCAGUGCUUUGGGAGGGUGAAGCAGGAGGAUCACUUGAGGCCAGGAGUUUGAGACCAGCAUGGGCAACAUAGUGAGACCCUA